GGCUACACACGUGCUACAAUGGGUAGUACAGAGAGUCGCAAAGCCGCGAGGUGGAGCUAAUCUCAGAAAACUAUUCUUAGUUCGGAUUGUACUCUGCAACUCGAGUACAUGAAGUUGGAAUCGCUAGUAAUCGCGAAUCAGCAAUGUCGCGGUGAAUACGUUCUCGGGUCUUGUACACACCGCCCGUCACACCACGGGAGUUGGUUGCACCUGAAGUAGCAGGCCUAACCGUAAGGAGGGAUGCUCCGAGGGUGUGAUUAGCGAUUGGGGUGAAGUCGUAACAAGGUAUCCGUACGGGAACGU
rnacentral:rRNA from 1 species